UACAGAGGGGGCGAGCGUUGUUCGGAAUUACUGGGCGUAAAGGGCGCGUAGGCGGCCUGCUAAGUCGAACGUGAAAUCCCUGGGCUCAACCCAGGAACUGCGUCCGAUACUGGAAGGCUUGAAUCCGGGAGAGGGAUGCGGAAUUCCAGGUGUAGCGGUGAAAUGCGUAGAUAUCUGGAGGAACACCGGUGGCGAAGGCGGCAUCCUGGACCGGUAUUGACGCUGAGGCGCGAAAGCCAGGGGAGCAAACGGG
rnacentral:rRNA from 1 species